UGUAAGAUGUUUCUUUUCUCUUCUAUUGUUGUAUUGAUAAUUAUUUUAUGAAGGUGUCUCAGGUGGAAUCAUUUAAGGCUUUAAUGAGGAGGGUCAGCGGUGCGUAAUUAAAGGUCACGGGUCACAUAUUAUCAACUGCGUCACCAGAAGAGGGAGCAAGAAGAUAGAAACGACAUUUGGAGUGGGAAAAAAACAUACAGAAGUCUAGUAUACAAUGUGUCUAGACCUGCUGGUUCGUUCAGUGACAAUAUUAUUAACUUCUCAUAAACACUGUGACACCCCGGCGGGGGGUCCUCACCUGGCUAGAGCUGCCUCGAGCUUCAUUGACAGAGAAAGAGCAGGGGAUUACAGCUCUCUGUGCAUCUCUACGACGCAAAGCACAGUGACAGUGAGAGGAGCACAGAUGUCAUUUGAGAGACUCAGUAACUCAGUAACUAAGCAGACACAAUCUCAGGAUCUCUCUUAAGUGGAAUGCAGCUAUCAUUAUCAACUACACCUAGCGCUGGCCCUCUGGUGACCCGGCAUGGUGUGAAACUCGUCACACAGAGUGGCUGCAAACCCACGUUUAGUGUGUUUUCAUCCGGAGGUCCUUGCGCUGUCCUGGAAGUUGACUGGUGACCACAGGUGGAAAACCAACAGUAAGCUGUCACCCAAACUCAGACACCACCUCCACGCUUGAGCUCAAGGAGAAAAUGGAAAUAGCCAGCAUCGAACCGGCGCAGUCAAUAACACUCUCCAGAAAAGGGCUGAGAGGGACACUCCCCGCCAGAGAGCAAGACUGAUGGAGGGAGGAGUGGGCGAUAGCCAGAGUAUGUCAGGUUUCAUCUGCCCCAUGUGACACACAGCUGACAGCUCUGCUACACUCGAUCUAGUCUCAAAACUAUCACACACACUUUUUCUCUCUCUCACGUCGUCCUCUCUUUCUUUCGUGCAUUCACCAUUCUGUCUUUCCCUCUUGUUUCCAGUUCUCACACUCUAUCUUCAUCAGUCUCUCACCCCCUCUGGGCUGCCAUUUUGCAGCAUAUGGCUCUCCCACACAAGUACUCACACAUGCACUGCCAUAUGCGUUUUGCUCAUACACCCUCACAUGCACUGUCUUUCUCUCUCCUGUUUAUUUGCUCAUCUUCUUUCUCUGUGUAUCUUUAUUAAAGUAUCACCUAGGCAAGUCAUUCGCAUUUAAAUGAGCUAAUUAUGAAAAAGUAACAAGAUGAACAAGAAGAGGGGGUGCGAGUGAAGGGAUGAAAUUUUUACCUCUGUCUUUGGAUGUUUCUUCUGACUGUCUGCUUGGCUGAAAUGUCACGUCUUCACGUGAUUUGAUUUGUUUCUGUCAUUUUCUCUGCCCACUUUUGUCUCAGACAAGUGAAGUACUGAGCUACAUGUCCUGGUCAUCCAACCUUCAGGUCUUUCAUUGUGUGUGAGGUAGGGUAUUGUGUCAGGCUUAAAACAUGCUUAAAGUAACAUGUAACAUCUUGCACAGCAGGGUGCCUGACAUGUUUCCUCACCAUGGAGUUGACAUGCACGUUUACAAAAUGUGAAACACAUGUAAUGUACUAUAUCUCACAGACAGUGUGUGUAUGGCUGCACACGGCUCAUGCUGGCUACAUGUUUUAGGCCUCAGUCAUUACUGAUUUAAUUAAGGUUCAAAGUGUAGGCAAAGGAUAAUUGUGGUCUUACACUCAACAGAGUAGGAUUAGUAAUGUUCCAAUCCAGAAAAAGGAGGAUUAACAUGAUGAGACCUUGAGGGAUGACAUCACGGUUACGGUAUAGUCAGAGUUUAAUAAGGUGCAGUAACUACUGUGAUGUUUGGACACACAACAUAUACAAGGGGAAGACAUUUUAUGUGCCUUUAACGUUGAGAAUGCAGAACGCAACUCAAUUCAGUUUUAUUUGUAUAGGCCAGAAUUAUAAACCAAGAAUUUAGAUUUACAAUUUGUACACAAUACCACACCUUCAGUUUUAAGACAGCUGUUCACAACAGGAAGUAUAUAAGUAUAUAAUGGCCCAUCAUUACGUUACUGCAUAUCAUGGAUUUGCCUCCAUCCUCAUAUUUUAGUAUCAAACAAAUCUCCCAGAUUAGGCCAUUUUGUGAAUAAAGUCUUAUGCAGGGAAAGGCAUGUUGAAU